GGGGAUUUAGCUCAGCGGUAGAGCGCUUGCCUAGCAAGCGCAAGGCCCUGGGUUCAACCCCCAGCUCCG
rnacentral:tRNA from 1 species